CACACUCCACACAAGUUUAGCAGAAGCUUCUCCUUCUCUCCAUCCACGCUCUCUCCAUUGCUCCGUCCACACUCUCCCCAUCGCAGGAGCUUCUUUCACCGCCGCCGUUCUCUCCAUCGCUUAUGAGCUCCAUUUUCCUGCUUCUGUUUGAGCUGUGUUUCAGUCCCCUCUGUUUAGAUCCGUGCUUCCGAAUUUUAGAUCGCGUUCCGACUUUGUUUUCUUGUCAGUUCAAUUUGAGACAAUAAUCACUUUCGUCAUUUCAAAGAUCGAACGCAGACAUGGUAAUCCUAUUCUUGAGGUUUCCUUGCUGAAUAUUUGGUGAUGUAUUCUCAAGAGUAGUACUCAGAUGAUGAGCAAAGGUGCGUCGCUGAGUCUUUUCCUGGAAAUUCUUAUUGGUGCCACUGCCAUUGUAAGGUCUCUGACUCUGAGGAGUAGCCUUUCUUGAUUCAGAUUGUAUCUGUGGAUCCUGAAAAUAUAAAUUACAAUUAGAAAAAUUAAGAGUGUGUUCAGUUUGCGUUUUUAUUUUCUAUUUUCAUUUUCAGGAUCUUGUGAAAAAGAAAGAGAAAAUAGGACAGAAAACAGAAUUUUAUUGUUCUAAGAACCAAAUCAAAUUUUAUAAGGACUCAAUUAUCCGGAACCAUAUGGAGAUUAAGAACAAUAUUGUUAACUAAACAAAGCUUGAGGAGAAAAUGGGAAAGAAGAUUAUAUUAUUAUUGCAAACAGUUUAAGAUACCUUCCGUGUCUCCUUGUUUGAUUCUUUCCUUUCCUUGUAAAAAUCAGGUAGUGGCCUUGCUUUGAAGCAAAAGCUUUGGCGAAGUUUUCUGAUCUCUGUCUCUGCUUUUUCCUGCAAAAUGAGGGGAUUGAAUGAUUUGGUGACCAAACUGAACUGAGGAAGUAAAUAUUGUUCAUAGUAACAGACACUUGCCCUUUCUUCUGUCCUCAAGCUGAAAGAUUCUAAUUGAGGUUGAUCAUCUACAAGAUAUCCUUGGCCCAUAUAUAUUCAGAUCAAAGGUGUUAAUAAAGAUGCAGUGUCAGUAGCAGGUUCAAUGCUUGAAUUGGAUGGCUCAUAUACAACUAAGAAUUAUCUUGAAAUAAUUUUAAACAGACUACCAACAAUAGAAAGAACUUCUACUGGGAUUAACUCUCAGCAAUCAGCAAGGCUGCUAGAGAUUAUUGAAUUUAUUCAAUCUCAGACAAAUGAGCUCUAUCAGCUGGCGUCUGUUGCCUUCUGCUUGCUUGUAGCCUGAUAAGGCCUUAGAGCUUGGAAUCAUAAACAGCCGCCAUGAAGCCUUCAUCACUUCCAAACUUUGGUGCAACAAUGCUCACCAUGACCUUGUCCUUUCAGCUCUCAAGACCACACUCAAGAAACUUGGGUUGGACUAUUUAGACCUCUACUUGAUUCAUAUGCUAGUGAGGUUGAAACCUGAAGUUGAUGGAGUUCUUGAAAUAAGAAAGGAUGAUUUGCUUCCCUUUGACAUACAGGAUUUGUCUUCCAUGAAUAAACAUAACUUGUGUGGCAUAUCUACAUUAUCAUGGAUAUAACUAAAUAUACAGGAGAUGGUAUAGAGUGAAUUUUCUUCAGAGGGGGUUGACUUCACCGAGGUCAAUGACGUCAACAAUGGAAGCAUAUGGUUUGGCUUUCAUCAAGAACCUUCAUUUUCAGGAUGGUGUGAUGAUAAUGGAACAGUCCAUUUGGAGCAGCAACGCAGGGAUGAAGAUGUUAGUUUAGAGGAAGACUCGGAUUUUGAGUGUUGGAGACACCAAGCUUUAAACUGUCAGGCAUCAUCAUGGUCAUCUCCAUUGGGAUACUAUUAACAGUCGCAAAAGAAACAGAGUUUGAAUUAUUUGGAUUCAUACUUGUCAUGCUUGCUGCUGUUAUGUCUGGCUUUCGCUGGUGCAUGACUCAGAUUCUUUUGCAGGUAUUAUGUUUGAAUUUCAUUUUUUUCUAUAUUAUACUUUUUCUACAGAUGCAUUAUACCUGCAUUACCAACACACAAUUGCACUUGCACAAGCAUGUUCCUUUUUUUUGUAUUUUUACCAUUCUUUAUGCCCUAAACAAUGAUGCUUCAUGUUUUCUGAGUUGGACCUGAUUUUUCAUUCUCGUCAUGUGUGUUGAACUGCAAAACCAAUUGAUAGGAAGAAUCCUAUGGUAAGUUCUGUGAAUUUUGCAUGCAAUAAUUUGUGGGAAAUAUUUACUCUUCUAAGGUUUACUGUUUACAUGAUAGUGGCUCACUGUCUCAAUUAAAAUGAUUGAUAUUUACAUAUUCAUUUUUGCUUUUGGUCAAUCAAUCCAUAAAUCCCAGUAUGUGAAUGAUCCUGAUAGAUUCAGUAGCUAUGAACAACUUGACUCCGACAAUUACUUUUUUGCUGGCUAUCAUCUUUAGCCAAGAAGUGUAUUCCUUUUCUAAUUGCAUUAAGAGAUAUAAAGCAACACGAGAUUACUCAAAGCAUGCGCAGGAUACUAGUUGAUUGGCAUGUAGAGAUUUGCAUAAUAUAAUUUUUCUCAUAUAAUACAAUGUUAUGAAUUAUAGUUGAUAAAUUUAGUAUGGUUGAACAACUGAGGACUAUAGUUAAUGUAUCAAUACAUUUUGUCUAUAUUUUGAAUUAUAUUGACUUGAUUGAUAA